AUUGAACGCUGGCGGCAUGCCUUACACAUGCAAGUCGAACGGUAACAGGUCUUCGGAUGCUGACGAGUGGCGAACGGGUGAGUAAUGCAUCGGAACGUGCCCGAGAGUGGGGGAUAACGAGGCGAAAGCUUUGCUAAUACCGCAUACGAUCUCAGGAUGAAAGCAGGGGACCGCAAGGCCUUGCGCUCACGGAGCGGCCGAUGGCAGAUUAGGUAGUUGGUGGGAUAAAAGCUUACCAAGCCGACGAUCUGUAGCUGGUCUGAGAGGACGACCAGCCACACGGGGACUGAGACACGGCCCAGACUCCUACGGGAGGCAGCAGUGGGGAAUUUUGGACAAUGGGCGCAAGCCUGAUCCAGCCAUGCCGCGUGCAGGAUGAAGGCCUUCGGGUUGUAAACUGCUUUUGUACGGAACGAAAAGACUCCUUCUAAUAAAGGGGGUCCAUGACGGUACCGUAAGAAUAAGCACCGGCUAACUACGUGCCAGCCGCCGCCGUAACAC
rnacentral:rRNA from 1 species